AACUGAUUUGGUCCUAGUCCUCUUAUUGACUAUUUCUACAACGAUACAUGCAAGUUUUACAGCGACACAGUGAGUAGCUAAAGCACCAAUCUACAAAUGAAGUGCACUAAAUAAGUAUCAGACACAUUACAACAAAAUCAAAGACGCUUAGAAAUCUUCCACAUCUGCAGUACUUAACAUUACACAUCAUAAGCGAAAGCUUGAUGUAGUGAUAGAAAGAAGAACUGGUUAAUUAUGUGCCAGCCACCGCGGUUAUACAUAAAGUUCUAGUCAAGAAAUUCCGGUAAAAACUGUGGUAAAAUUCCUCCCCCCCCCCUGGAAUAGAAAUAAACUUCGGCAGUAAUAAGCUUCCAGGCCUCUAAUAACAAACACAAAAAAUUAAUUUCAGCAUAUUGAACCCACCAAAGCUCCAAAAUAAACUGGGAUUAGAUACCCCACUAUAAGAGCCAUAAAAUUGCACUUACACCUGAGAACUACGAACAAAAGUUUAAAACUCAAAGGACUUGGCGGUCUUAUAGACCUUCCUGGAGGAGCUUGCUAUCUAACCGAUAAUCCACGUUAAACCUUACCAGCCCUUGAACACCAGCCUGUAUACCAUCGUCGUCAGCCUACCCCCCAAGGAAAGUAUACAAAAUGGGCCAAAAUUCCCACUACGCCAGAUCGAGGUGCAGCUUAUGGGCUGGGGAUCAGUGAGCUACAAUGAUAAAACAGCAACACCCUAAAUAAAAUUUUGAAUAAGCCAAAGAAUCUUUGUUUUGAAACCGGAUUCAGCAGUAAUAACUAACAGAAAAUAGUUGUGAACCUUUAGCUCUAUAAUGCGCACACAUCGCCCGUCACUCUCGUCGCACCAGAGGAGAAAAGUCGUAACAUAGUAGGCGUAUUGGAAAAUGUGCCUGGAAUAAA
rnacentral:ncRNA from 1 species